GUCUCAGGCCGUAUCAGCCUGAAGGCGCCCGAUCUCGUCUGAUCUCGGAAGCUAAGGCGAGGGUCGGGCCUGGUUAGGAUCUUGGAUGGGACGACCACCUGGGAAUCCCGGGUGCUCGAGGCU
rnacentral:rRNA from 1 species